rnacentral:lncRNA from 1 species
UUCAUCGAAUAAGAGAGUAGGUUUCUUGCUUGUGGAUUGGUUACGCUUCUUCGGUGGCAUGGUUUUCCUACACGGAAAGGAAUACAAGGUAAUGAGAGACGAUGGUUAACCCUGGACAUUUCUGUCCUGAACGUAUUAGGCAUAAAUUUUCCCGUGCCUCGGGUACUGGUCGUCUGAGUGUCGACCUACAUCCCUAUGAUGUAGUCCUGGUAAUCGAAGUGGGUGUAUGAGUAUCGGAAAAAGGCCAUAAGAUGCGAGUCGUUCCUACUAAGUUACCUUUAACUGGGAAAGGUUUCACUCUCCGGCCUGGAGAGAUUUGAGAACGGUUCGGAACAAAACUGCGGAAAGAGAGGCUCACAAGGGCAGAUGGCUAAAAUUCUCUCAAUAGAGAUGCGGGGAUCCGCCCUAAUCGUGUAUCUGGCAACGGGAAACGACGAUUUACCUUACACAUAGCGUGAGUAGUGUAACCACUAACUCACUAAAUUGUAUUAUUUUAUGGGUGUAUUAGCGUGACGCACACGAGGGAAAGACAAUUCCCGGGUUCCAUGUACUGGUUCCCUCGGUCUGCCUCGUAUCUUUGACUGGAAUCANCGUAUUAGGCAUAAAAUUUUCCCGUGCCUUGGGUAAUGGUCGUCUGAGUGUCGACCUACAUCCCUAUGAUGUAGUACUGGUAAUCGAAGUGGGUGUAUGAGUAUCGGAAAAAGGCCAUAAGAUGCGAGUCGUUCCUACUAAGUUACCUUUAUACUGGGAAAGGUUUCACUCUCCG